UCUGGUUGAUCCUGCCAGUAGUCAUAUGCUUGUCUCAAAGAUUAAGCCAUGCAUGUCUAAGUAUAAAUGAUUUUGUACAGUGAAACUGCGAAUGGCUCAUUAAAUCAGUUAUAAUUUAUUUGAUAAUAAUUUAACUACAUGGAUAACUGUGGUAAUUCUAUAGCUAAUACAUGCAAUUAUGCCCGACUUCUGGAAGGGUUGUAUUUAUUAGACAAAAAACCAAUGUGGGCAACCACUUUUUGGUGAAUCAUAGUAACUUAUCGAAUCGCAUGGCCUUGUGCUGGCGAUGGUUCAUUCAAAUUUCUGCCCUAUCAACUUUCGAUGGUAGGAUAGGGGCCUACCAUGGUUUUAACGGGUAACGGGGAAUUAGGGUUCGAUUCCGGAGAGGGAGCCUGAGAAACGGCUACCACAUCCAAGGAAGGCAGCAGGCGCGCAAAUUACCCAAUGGGGACACCCCGAGGUAGUGACAAUAAAUAACAAUGCAGAACCUUUUAGGUUUUGCAAUUGGAAUGAGUACAAUUUAAAUCCCUUAACGAGGAACAAUUGGAGGGCAAGUCUGGUGCCAGCAGCCGCGGUAAUUCCAGCUCCAAUAGCGUAUAUUAAAGUUGUUGCAGUUAAAAAGCUCGUAGUUGAACUUCGGGUUGAGCAUUUAGUCCACUCCGGUGGUACUAUAAUGUUUAACCUUACCUUCUGGGGAACCAAAGUGCUCUUAAUUGAGUGCCUUGGGGAACCAGAACCUUUACUUUGAAAAAAUUAGAGUGUUUAAAGCAGGCUUAGGCUUGAAUACAUUAGCAUGGAAUAAUAGAAUAGGACUUUGGUUCUAUUUUGUUGGUUUUUAGAACCAAAGUAAUGAUUAAUAGGGACAGUUGGGGGCAUUAGUAUUGAGCAGCUAGAGGUGAAAUUCUUGGAUUUGCUCAAGGCUAACUACUGCGAAAGCAUUUGCCAAGGAUGUUUUCAUUAAUCAAGAACGAAAGUUAGGGGAUCGAAGACGAUUAGAUACAUGGGGCGGCUAUGCGGUAUCAAGCCAUACUGAACCCGGAUUUCACUUAACUGUGAGUUGACGGGAGAGGUGUUAGAAUUGGCGGGCUCGGCUG
rnacentral:rRNA from 1 species